UUCGAGCGUCAUUUGUACCCUCAAGCUUUGCUUGGUGUUGGGCGUCUUUUUGUCUCUCCCCUUGUUGGGGGAGACUCGCCUUAAAACGAUUGGCAGCCGACCUACUGGUUUUCGGAGCGCAGCACAAAUUUGCGCCUUCCAAUCCACGGGGCGGCAUCCAGCAAGCCUUUGUUUUCUAUAACAAAUCCACAUUUUGACCUCGGAUCAGGUAGGGAUACCCGCUGAACUUAAGCAUAUCAAUAAGCGGAGGAAAAGAAACCAACAGGGAUUGCCCUAGUAACGGCGAGUGAAGCGGCAACAGCUCAAAUUUGAAAUCUGGCUCUUUCAGAGUCCGAGUUGUAAUUUGCAGAGGGCGCUUUGGCUUUGGCAGCGGUCCAAGUUCCUUGGAACAGGACGUCACAGAGGGUGAGAAUCCCGUACGUGGUCGCUAGCUAUUGCCGUGUAAAGCCCCUUCGACGAGUCGAGUUGUUUGGGAAUGCAGCUCUAAAUGGGAGGUAAAUUUCUUCUAAAGCUAAAUAUUGGCCAGAGACCGAUAGCGCACAAGUAGAGUGAUCGAAAGAUGAAAAGCACUUUGGAAAGAGAGUCAAACAGCACGUGAAAUUGUUGAAAGGGAAGCGCUUGCAGCCAGACUUGCUUGCAGUUGCUCAUCCGGGCUUUUGCCCGGUGCACUCUUCUGCAGGCAGGCCAGCAUCAGUUUGGGCGGUGGGAUAAAGGUCUCUGUCAUGUACCUCUCUUCGGGGAGGCCUUAUAGGGGAGGCGACAUACCACCAGCCUAGACUGAGGUCCGCGCAUCUGCUAGGAUGCUGGCGUAAUGGCUGUAAGCGGCCCGUCUUGAAACACGGACCAAGGAGUCUAACAUCUAUGCGAGUGUUUGGGUGUCAAGCCCGAGCGCGUAAUGAAAGUGAACGGAGGUGGGAACCCGCAAGGGUGCACCAUCGACCGAUCCUGAAGUUUACGGAAGGAUUUGAGUAAGAGCAUGGCUGUUGGGACCCGAAAGAUGGUGAACUAUGCUUGAAUAGGGUGAAGCCAGAGGAAACUCUGGUGGAGGCUCGCAGCGGUUCUGACGUGCAAAUCGAUCGUCAAAUUUGGGCAUAGGGGCGAAAGACUAAUCGAACUAUCUAGUAGCUGGUUCCUGCCGAAGUUUCCCUCAGGAUAGCAGUAACGUAUUCAGUUUUAUGAGGUAAAGCGAAUGAUUAGAGGCAUGGGGGUUGAAACAACCUUCACCUAUUCUCAAACUUUAAAUAUGUAAGAAGCCCUUUGUUACUUAAUUGAACGCGGGCAUUUGAAUGAAACGUUAUUAGUGGGCCAUUUUUGGUAAGCAGAACUGGCGAUGCGGGAUGAACCGAA
rnacentral:rRNA from 1 species